UCCAUAUUUUACUGGGUAUGGUUGGGGUGUGUGCUACACUAUGCCAUAGUGUAGCACACACCCCAACCUUACCCAGUAAAAUAUGGACA
rnacentral:pre_miRNA from 1 species